UUUCAUGCAUUAUUAAUGAUUUGAUGAUCAAUGUGAUCAUCAUGUGAAAAUCAGGAACCAUUAUUCGGUGAUUGGUCCACAGAUUCAAGAACAAUUUGCUAAAGUCAGAUUCGAUUGGAGACUUUGUGAAACUGUUGAACAGCAGCGAGAGAGGAAUCAGUGUCAGUUUUGAGGAGGGUUGGAUCAGAUCUGAGGAAGCUGUUAGUUUGGUGUGUCGCUGUCUGGAGCUCAACGGUAACAUAUACACCAUCAGGGUUCACCAAACCACGCUACACCUGUCUCUGAUGAAGUCCACUGAACU